rnacentral:rRNA from 1 species
AGCAAGCACCGGCUAACUCCGUGCCAGCAGCCGCGGUAAUACGGAGGGUGCGAGCGUUAAUCGGAAUUACUGGGCGUAAAGCGCGCGUAGGCGGUUUGUUAAGUCAGCUGUGAAAGCCCUGGGCUCAACCUGGGAACUGCAGUUGAUACUGGCCGACUAGAGUACGAGAGAGGGAGGUAGAAUUCCAUGUGUAGCGGUGAAAUGCGUAGAUAUAUGGAGGAAUACCAGUGGCGAAGGCGGCCUCCUGGCUCGAUACUGACGCUGAGGUGCGAAAGCGUGGGGAUCAAACAGGAUUAGAUACCCUGGUAGUCCACGCCGUAAACGAUGUCUACUAGCCGUUGGGAGACUUGAUUUUCCAGUGGCGCAGCUAACGCAAUAAGUAGACCGCCUGGGGAGUACGGCCGCAAGGUUAAAACUCAAAUGAAUUGACGGGGGCCCGCACAAGCGGUGGAGCAUGUGGUUUAAUUCGAUGCAACGCGAAGAACCUUACCAGGUCUUGACAUCCUGCGAACUUUCCAGAGAUGGAUUGGUGCCUUCGGGAACGCAGUGACAGGUGCUGCAUGGCUGUCGUCAGCUCGUGUCGUGAGAUGUUGGGUUAAGUCCCGUAACGAGCGCAACCCUUGUCCUUAUUUGCCAGCACGUGAUGGUGGGAACUCUAAGGAGACUGCCGGUGACAAACCGGAGGAAGGUGGGGACGACGUCAAGUCAUCAUGGCCCUUACGACCUGGGCUACACACGUGCUACAAUGGCGAGUACAAAGGGCUGCAAAGGCGCGAGCUGGAGCGAAUCCCACAAAACUUGUCGUAGUCCGGAUUGGAGUCUGCAACUCGACUCCAUGAAGUCGGAUCGCUAGUAAUCGUGAAUCAGAUGUCACGGUGAAUACGUUCCCGGGCCUUGUACACACCGCCCGUCACACCAUGGGAGUGGGUUGCAAAAAAGUGGGUAGU